rnacentral:tRNA from 1 species
GGGAUCAUAGCUCAGCUGGUAGAGCACCUGCCGUACAAGCAUGUGGUCACAGGUUCGAUCCCUGUUGGUCCCACCA